CCUACGGGUGGCAGCAGUGAGGAAUAUUGGUCAAUGGGCUUACGCCUGAACCAGCCAAGUCGCGUGAGGGAAGACUGCCCUAUGGGUUGUAAACCUCUUUUGUCAGGGAGCAACGCCGGCUACGUGUAGCCGGACUGAGAGUACCUGAAGAAAAAGCAUCGGCUAACUCCGUGCCAGCAGCCGCGGUAAUACGGAGGAUGCGAGCGUUAUCCGGAUUUACUGGGUGUAAAGGGAGCGUAGACGGUGCGCCAAGUCUGGAGUGAAAUGCCGCAGCUUAACUGCGGAACUGCUUUGGAAACUGGCGAACUAGAGUGCGGGAGGGGUAAGCGGAAUUCCUAGUGUAGCGGUGAAAUGCGUAGAUAUUAGGAGGAACACCGGUGGCGAAGGCGGCUUACUGGACCGUAACUGACGUUGAGGCUCGAAAGCGUGGGGAGCAAACAGGAUUAGAUACCCCGGUAGUC
rnacentral:rRNA from 1 species